rnacentral:rRNA from 1 species
UUGCUUCUUUGCUGACGAGUGGCGGACGGGUGAGUAAUGUCUGGGAAACUGCCUGAUGGAGGGGGAUAACUACUGGAAACGGUAGCUAAUACCGCAUAACGUCGCAAGACCAAAGAGGGGGACCUUCGGGCCUCUUGCCAUCGGAUGUGCCCAGAUGGGAUUAGCUAGUAGGUGGGGUAACGGCUCACCUAGGCGACGAUCCCUAGCUGGUCUGAGAGGAUGACCAGCCACACUGGAACUGAGACACGGUCCAGACUCCUACGGGAGGCAGCAGUGGGGAAUAUUGCACAAUGGGCGCAAGCCUGAUGCAGCCAUGCCGCGUGUAUGAAGAAGGCCUUCGGGUUGUAAAGUACUUUCAGCGGGGAGGAAGGGAGUAAAGUUAAUACCUUUGCUCAUUGACGUUACCCGCAGAAGAAGCACCGGCUAACUCCGUGCCAGCAGCCGCGGUAAUACGGAGGGUGCAAGCGUUAAUCGGAAUUACUGGGCGUAAAGCGCACGCAGGCGGUUUGUUAAGUCAGAUGUGAAAUCCCCGGGCUCAACCUGGGAACUGCAUCUGAUACUGGCAAGCUUGAGUCUCGUAGAGGGGGGUAGAAUUCCAGGUGUAGCGGUGAAAUGCGUAGAGAUCUGGAGGAAUACCGGUGGCGAAGGCGGCCCCCUGGACGAAGACUGACGCUCAGGUGCGAAAGCGUGGGGAGCAACAGGAUAGAUACCCUGGUAGU